rnacentral:rRNA from 1 species
GACAGAGGGUGCAAACGUUGUUCGGAAUUACUGGGCGUAAAGCGCGUGUAGGCGGCUAAGUAAGUCGGGCGUGAAAUCCCACGGCUCAACCGUGGAAGUGCACUCGAAACUGCAUAGCUAGAGUCCUGGAGAGGAAGGUGGAAUGCUUGGUGUAGAGGUGAAAUUCGUAGAUAUCAAGCGGAACACCGGUGGCGAAGGCGGCCUUCUGGACAGUGACGUGACGCUGAGGAGCGAAAGCGUGG